CCUUGUUAUUUUCCAUUUAUUUUUAUUCUUGUAGUAUUGUGAUGUGAUUCCGGGUUAUAGCUGUAUGUUGUUUUUAUGAAUGAAGUUGUACAAUUCACGAAAGUUUUCACAGACAAAACUUUUGAGUACUGCAGGGCAGAUAAAAAUUUGUUGAUUUUCCGUAUUUGGCGUGUUGCAUAUUUCGCAUAGGUUGGAGUUUUCAGCAUUGAUGAGGGACAGGUGACAUGUUGAAUCCUGAAAACCAAUGACGGUUUGGUGGCUCUGGGAAGAAUUAUGUUGGUGGAUUAGCGAGCAUCUUUUAUCGAGAGGCCAGUUUGUAUGACUGAACCGACUUCAGCUGCAUGUUUGGCGAAAAAGUCUGCACGUUCAUUAGCAGCAAUGCCUAUAUGCGAGGGAAUCCAGAAGAUGGUGAUUUGUGUUAGACUUGAGUUGUUUACCUUUUGUAGAAUAUUGUUGGCCAGAUAGUUUUGGGUAUCAUUUUCUUUUAAGAUCAGGCAUGCAUUUUUACUAUCGGUAAGAAUGGUUGCUUUUCUGAUGUUGUCUUCUAUCAUUAUGUCUAUUGCCUUAUUGAUGGCGUGUAAUUCUCCCAUAAGUGAUGACAUUUUUUCCGAUAUUUUGAAUAAGAAGUUCAGUUUUU